rnacentral:rRNA from 1 species
AUGUCGUCCGCGCCGCCCGCCCACCAACCCAAACCCUCCUACCAGCGCCGCCCUCCCAACUCCGGGCCGAGACAGCAGCCGCCGCCGCCGCAGCACCAGCAGCAGCGCUACGUCCCCAAAUCCGCCGCCCCUUCCGCUCCUAAACCCUCGCCCCCACCACCGCUCACCACCGCCCUCCGAUCAUCGGCCACCCCGCCUGCAUCUAGCGCCGGCAGCAGCGGCGGCGGCGGUGCGGCCGAUGGGUUCGUGUUCUACCUGCCGCACGACGAGGCGCUCGCGGCCGGGCUCGGCGGCCUCGACGCCCAGGAGUCGCAGGCCGUCGUCGACCUCCUCAACGACGCGCUCGCGUCGCUCCUCCGUGCCAAGCCUCGCGAGUUCUGGCGCCAGGUGGCACAGAAUGCCUCUCUGCAUGCAUUCCUAGAUAGUUACCUACAAUUCAGACACCGGUGGUAUGAUUUGCCACACAGGGGCCCCAAAGGGACAGUUGCUGGUUUGGUUGUUGGGGAGCUUGAGCUUUGCCGCCGUGUCUUUAUGGUCCUCUACCGCAUAUCAUCAAACAAGGAUCCUGGAUCAGGCCCGGGUGAGUCCCUUAGUACGAAGGAGCAUACAGCCCUUCUACAGGAGAAAAAACUGCUUGAUCUACCAAAGUUGUUGGAUAUAUGUGCUAUAUAUGGGCAUGACAAUGGGGAGUUGACAAGUUCACUGGUUACAAAUGCAAUCAUUGUGCAGCCCAAUUUACUCGAUGGCAUCAAUACUGUCCUUCCCCAAUUCCUGGACAUUUUCCACACAAUGCAGGACAGAUGCAUGGACUCACUACAGGUGCUCAGUUCACCUGGACCAAAUGUCAGUGGACAUACCCAGCUUCAGAAAGAUUUCUCGGAGGUGCUGGAUUUUGUUAAUGAUGCAAUUAUUACUCUGGAUGCCUUUGCUGAUGCUUACCAGCCUGCUGCAUUAUUAUUAUGUGCUUCUUUUGAAAGAGGGGAUCGAGUUGAGGAAUUGCUGAACACCCUUGCAAGUUUGUAUGAUUUGUUGUUACCAUCUUUGCUUCAGGGGUUUCAAGUUAUGUCCAGUUCCCAAAGCAAUGGAGAGACUUCGUCUGAAAGUAUACUUAAUGACAUAGUUCUUGGCAUAAGAAUGCUAUCAAAGAGAGCUGUUGGAUUUGGUUGGAGAUUAUUAGAGUUCUGCUAUUUAAAUUAUCAACUUAAGGAGGAGGAUGUCCAAGCAUCUACUAAGAUGUUUCCAGCUAAAGUCGAAGAUCCUAUGAUCAGGGGAGAAAUAAUAGUUCAAAUACUCAAGGAUAUCAAUAGAGAAGCUACUUACUCUUCUAAAGGGAAUCCUGGAAAGACGUUUCUGCAAGCUCUUCAAAAGGAAUUUCAGUUGAUGAGCCGGAUUGGCGAUAUUCGGAACAAAGGAUGGAUAUACAUGGAGGAUGAGCAGUUCCAGUUCAUAUCACGGCUGUGCGGAUCCACUGUCACUUCUUGGAAUAGUGUCCCUGAUUUGCCAAUAUCUUCCCAUGGUGGUGAACUUCAACAGAAGAAUGAGGAAGCUGCUGUCAUUGAGUCCAAGAUUAGUCAGAUAAGGGACCUUCUUCCUCAUUAUGGGAAAGGUUUCCUUGCUGCUUGCUUGGAAGCCUACAACCAGAACCCUGAGGAAGUUAUCCAAAGGAUACUAGAUGGAACACUUCAUCAGGAUCUUCUAGCUUUAGAUACUUCGUUACAAGAGAUGCCACAACAAAAAUCUGCACCUAGUGUUGCGAAAGAUAAAGGCAAAGGCGUAUUAGUGGAAACUAUUCCUAAUAUUGCAAAUAAACCCCAUAAAGUUGAAGCCCAAUCUUCUUCAGUCUCAUCAGCAUCCAAGGCUCCUAUCUCAUAUUUAUCUUCAGUUUCAUCAGCAUCCAAGGCUCCUGCCUCAUCUGCAUCAUCAGUUCCACAAGGUAGAUUUACAAGGAAGACCAAUGAUGAUCUGCCCAACUUUGCAGUUCUAGACUCGCAAAAAGCCAAAGACGCUGUUAAGUCAGCUGUCCUUGAUUCCCAGUAUGAGUACGAGGAUGAGUAUGAUGACUCGUUUGAUGAUCUUGGCUUCAGCGUGGCGGAGUCAAGUUACGAGGAAGCAGAGGGCGCCAAUGAUGCUGAGGGUUCCUCCAGUGGCCCACGUUGGUCUUCACAGAAGAAGCCACAGUUUUAUGUCAAGGACGGGAAGAACUACAGCUACAAGGUUGCUGGUUCAGUUGCUGUAUCAAAUGCUCGAGAGGCAGCAGUCUUAAACAAUACUCAGAAAGAUACAAUUCAUGGUCUUGGUCGUGGUGGAAAUUUACCUAUUGGUGGAAAUUUACCUAUGGGAGUUCCCAACAGGCAGCAUAGAGUUGUGGAGGAAGAGGAGGGUGGUCAUGCAAACAGCUUCAGCAGAGGAGGCUCGAAUCCCCGUGGUCGGGGCAGGGGCAGAAGAGGUGGCUGGGAUCAGGGUAACCCAGCAGAGGAGAACGAGAAUUCUAGUGGGCCACAAAGUUUUGGCCGUGAUGGAAGAAGAGGCGGCAGGAACCAUGGCAACCUGCCAGAGGUAAACGAUGGCCAACAAGGUUUUGGCCGUGGUGCAAGAAGAGGGACCGGGGAUGAUGACAAUCGACCAGAAAUGAACAACCACUCUAAUGUCCAGCAAGGUUUUGGUCGUGGCGCAAGAAGAGGGGCCAGGGACGAGGACAACCGGCCAGAGGUGAACAACCAUCCUAAUGCCCAGCAAGGUUUUGGUCGUGGCGCAAGAAGAGGGGACAGGGACGAGGACAACAGGCCAGAAGGGAAUAACCAUGGCCAGCAAGGUUUUGGUCGUGGUGGAAGAAGAGGGGACAGGGACGAAGACAACAGGCCAGAAGGGAAUAACCAUGGCCAGCAAGGUUUUGGUCGUGGUGGAAGAAGAGGGGACAGGGAAGAGGACAACAGGCCAGAAGUGAAUAACCAUGGCCAGCAAGGUUUUGGCCGUGGUGCAAGAAGAGGGGACAGGAACCAUGACGAUCCAGUGGAGGACAAUGAAGACCGUAAUGCAGCACAAGGUUUCGCUCGAGGAGGGCCAGGCCCCCGUGGAGGCGGCGGAAGGAGAGGCGGCCGGAAUCAUAACCGGAGGGAUCAGGCGCUGAGGAAGCAUAUGCAAGGAAUGACAGGGCUUUAG